UGCGCAGACCGAUCCCUAUCGAUAACCCGCCAGCGAUAUUUUGACAGCUAGAGACAGAACAUUUUCCUCGCGUAAUCACGACAGCAGCAACAAAAAGCCAAACCACAAAGUAAUUUCUACUAAAUUUAAGUAAAUCGCGCACCGAAAAUGCCCGAAAAAUCGGAUUAGCCCAUCGCGAAGGGUGGUAGUGCGUGCGCGAAAGUGCAACAAGUGAAAAACGAGCGGGAGAGAAAGCAGAAGGCAACGAUUUGUCAACAACAAAACGAGAAGAAAAAGAAAAAAAAAUUGACGGAGGAAAAAGAAGAAAAGAAAUAAGUGCCGUGUGUUGGAAACGCGAAAAAGGCGAGAACAAAGAGCCAAAACGGUGGAAAUUGUGUGGGGAAACGCUGGACCGAAAGCUCCAAGUUGACCGCCAUCGAUUCGUGUGUAGGAUCAAUUAAAAUUCCGUGAGGCCAGGCCUGGCUGGCCGAGAAUCAAAUCAAAUUAAAAAUCAACUAAUAUUUUGAUAUUCAAAUAUUCAAAUGAAAUUCAUUCAUCGCCUGGGACUUUGUGCGGAUCUGGGCAACUAUUUUCGAAUUUGAAUUGUGUCUGCGUCUGUUCCAAGCACAGAAUCUGUGAUAAAGCAGAAAUACAAAAAGUAACAAAUACAAAAUAAAUACAACAGAGCAAAAAAAA